GCCAUGAGCUGCCCCUGGCCGCAGCCCCCUAGCCUGCCGGCACAGCCGUGCGAUGGCGGGUAACCGGGUUGGAAACGGAGAGAUGAACAGCGGAGCCAGAAAGGUCCUAGCAGCUGAUCCUGAGUGGUCUGUACCAUGUGCCUUCAAGAUGCCUUGGGAGUUUGACAUUUGAAAAUUCACUAGACAGGCUUCAGAGCCUUUGAAAAUGUCAGAUCCAUGUGGAGUAUUAUCUGCUCAGAAGAGGAACAAUUUCUGCUGGUAGUGGCAUUUGUGAAGAGUUGGGACUACAUGCAUCACCCCUGCAAAGUAGAUUUCCAUUGACUUCAGAGAGAGUGGGAAGAUAAGGACAGACCUCUUAGAAUAUUGUACAGGAAGAACUGAAAAGAUUUUUCUGGAUGUUUGAGCAACAGACAACAGAGAAGCUCAGACUGCAUAGUUUGUGGAAUAGGAAUCUGAUGUUUCCUUGAUAUGCUCUGCCUUUUGGACUGGUGUUUCAAAUAGUAACUGUAAAUGCUGACUUGUGAUGAGUGCUGACUUUACUUGAUGCCUUCUCUGGUACUGCACUGUAAGUCAUCAUUUAAAUACAUAGCUUGAAAUAAAAAUAUUUCGAUGCAUUAUUUGCAUUUUCAAUGCACUACUUCAGUAUUUCAAAAGCUUUUCUCUUCAAUAAUUGAAAAUAAUAAGCAGGACUUUUAUGUGAGGUGAUUUCUGCUUUCUUGCA